GCCUCGAUAGCUCAGCCUGGUUAGAGCACGGGUUUCAUAAGCCCGGGGUCGCGUGUUCAAAUCACGCUCGAGGCA
rnacentral:tRNA from 1 species